AGCGAGCAUAGAUGUGUAAGUUUUCGGAUGGAAGCAUGUAUGACUGAGCGGCGGACGGGUGAGUAACGCGUGGGUAACCUGCCUCAUACAGGGGGAUAACAGUUAGAAAUGACUGCUAAUACCGCAUAAGCGCACAGGACCGCAUGGUCCGGUGUGAAAAACUCCGGUGGUAUGAGAUGGACCCGCGUCUGAUUAGCUGGUUGGUGAGGUAACGGCCCACCAAGGCGACGAUCAGUAGCCGACCUGAGAGGGUGGCCGGCCACAUUGGGACUGAGACACGGCCCAAACUCCUACGGGAGGCAGCAGUGGGGAAUAUUGCACAAUGGGGGAAACCCUGAUGCAGCAACGCCGCGUGAGUGAAGAAGUAUUUCGGUAUGUAAAGCUCUAUCAGCAGGGAAGAGAAUGACGGUACCUGACUAAGAAGCCCCGGCUAACUACGUGCCAGCAGCCGCGGUAAUACGUAGGGGGCAAGCGUUAUCCGGAUUUACUGGGUGUAAAGGGAGCGUAGACGGCUGUACAAGUCUGAAGUGAAAGCCCGUGGCUCAACCGCGGAACUGCUUUGGAAACUGUAAAGCUGGAGUACUGGAGAGGCAGGCGGAAUUCCUAGUGUAGCGGUGAAAUGCGUAGAUAUUAGGAGGAACACCAGUGGCGAAGGCGGCCUGCUGGACAGAAACUGACGUUGAGGCUCGAAAGCGUGGGGAGCAAACAGGAUUAGAUACCCUGGUAGUCCACGCGGUAAACGAUGAAUGCUAGGUGUUGGUGGGCAAAAGCCCAUCGGUGCC
rnacentral:rRNA from 1 species